UACGAAGGGGGCUAGCGUUGCUCGGAAUCACUGGGCGUAAAGCGCACGUAGGCGGCUUGUUAAGUCAGGGGUGAAAUCCUGGAGCUCAACUUCAGAACUGCCUUUGAUACUGAGAAGCUUGAGUCCGGGAGAGGUGAGUGGAACUGCGAGUGUAGAGGUGAAAUUCGUAGAUAUUCGCAAGAACACCAGUGGCGAAGGCGGCUCACUGGCCCGGUACUGACGCUGAGGUGCGAAAGCGUGGGGAGCAAACAGG
rnacentral:rRNA from 1 species